rnacentral:rRNA from 1 species
AGUGAACGCUGGCGGUAGGCCUAACACAUGCAAGUCGAACGGCAGCACAGUAAGAGCUUGCUCUUACGGGUGGCGAGUGGCGGACGGGUGAGGAAUACAUCGGAAUCUACUUUUUCGUGGGGGAUAACGUAGGGAAACUUACGCUAAUACCGCAUACGACCUACGGGUGAAAGCAGGGGAUCCUCGGACCUUGCGCGAUUGAAUGAGCCGAUGUCGGAUUAGCUAGUUGGCGGGGUAAAGGCCCACCAAGGCGACGAUCCGUAGCUGGUCUGAGAGGAUGAUCAGCCACACUGGAACUGAGACACGGUCCAGACUCCUACGGGAGGCAGCAGCGGGGAAUAUUGGACAAUGGGCGCAAGCCUGAUCCAGCCAUACCGCGUGGGUGAAGAAGGCCUUCGGGUUGUAAAGCCCUUUUGUUGGGAAAGAAAAGCAGCAGGUUAAUACCCCGCUGUUCUGACGGUACCCAAAGAAUAAGCACCGGCUAACUUCGUG